rnacentral:rRNA from 1 species
CGGGGUGAGUAAUGUCUGGGAGGACUGCCUGAUGGAGGGGGGUAACUACUGGAAACGGUAGCUAAUACCGCAUAACGUCGCAAGACCAAAGAGGGGGACCUUCGGGCCUCUUGCCAUCGGAUGUGCCCAGAUGGGAUUAGCUAGUAGGUGGGGUAACGGCUCACCUAGGCGACGAUCCCUAGCUGGUCUGAGAGGAUGACCAGCCACACUGGAACUGAGACACGGUCCAG